GCCUAUGGCUCAAUUGGUAGAGCAUCGCACUAGCUACGCCAAGAUUGUGGGUUCGAUCCCCAGAGAACA